rnacentral:rRNA from 1 species
GUGCCAGCCGCCGCGGUAAUACGUAGGGUGCGAGCGUUAAUCGGAAUUACUGGGCGUAAAGCGUGCGCAGGCGGUUAUAUAAGACAGAUGUGAAAUCCCCGGGCUCAACCUGGGACCUGCAUUUGUGACUGUAUAGCUAGAGUACGGUAGAGGGGGAUAGAAUUCCACGUGUAGCAGUGAAAUGCGUAGAGAUGUGGAGGAACACCGAUGGCGAAGGCAGCCCCCUGGGUCAAGAUUGACGCUCAUGCACGAAAGCGUGGGGAGCAAACAGGACUAGAUACCCUGGUAGUCCACGCCCUAAACGAUGUCUACUAGUUGUCGGGUUUUAAUUAACUUGGUAACGCAGCUAACGCGUGAAGUAGACCGCCUGGGGAGUACGGUCGCAAGAUUAAAACUCAAAGGAAUUGACGGGGACCCGCACAAGCGGUGGAUGAUGUGGAUUAAUUCGAUGCAACGCGAAAAACCUUACCUACCCUUGACAUGUACGGAAGCCACGAGAGAUCGAGGUGUGCUCGAAAGAGAGCCGUAACACAGGUGCUGCAUGGCUGUCGUCAGCUCGUGUCGUGAGAUGUUGGGUUAAGUCCCGCAACGAGCGCAACCCUUGUCAUUAGUUGCUACGAAAGAGCACUCUAAUGAGACUGCCGGUGACAAACCGGAGGAAGGUGGGGAUGACGUCAAGUCCUCAUGGCCCUUAUGGGUAGGGCUUCACACGUCAUACAAUGGUACAUACAGAGGGCCGCCAACCCGCGAGGGGGAGCUAAUCCCAGAAAGUGUAUCGUAGUCCGGAUUGUAGUCUGCAACUCGACUACAUGAAGUUGGAAUCGCUAGUAAUCGCGGAUCAGCAUGUCGCGGUGAAUACGUUCCCGGGUCUUGUACACACCGCCCGUCACACCAUGGGAGCGGGUUUUACCAGAAGUAGGUAGCUUAACCGCAAGGGGGGCGCCUACCACGGUAGGAUUCGUGACUGGGGUGAAGUCGUAACAAGGUAACC